GGGUUGUGCUCAGAGCAGGGGGCCUGAAGAAAUGGCUCCUCUGUUUACAACAUACCCAACAGGAACCUGGGUUUUUUGUAACAAGGGGUGCAAACCUUGUGGCCUUCCUAUGAACAAAUACCCUACAGGC